rnacentral:rRNA from 1 species
GACGAACGCUGGCGGCGUGCCUAAUACAUGCAAGUAGAACGCAGUUGCGAACGGGUGAGUAACGCGUAGGUAACUGCCUCAUAGCGGGGGAUAACUAUUGGAAACGAUAGCUAAUACGGCAUAGAGGGAGAGGUACCGGAGUUGUAUUAGCUAGUUGGUGAGGUAAAGGCUCACCAAGGCGACGAUACAUAGCCGACCUGAGAGGGUGCUCGGCCACCCGGGGACUGCGACACUGCCCAGACUCCUACGGGAGGCAGCAGUAGGGAAUCUUCGGCAAUGGACUGAAGUCUGACCGAGCUACGCCGCGUUAGUGAAGAAGGUUUUCGGAUCGUAAAGCUCUGUUGUUAGAGAAGCGUUCACUACCCCUAAAGGGACGGCUAACUCCGUGCCAGCAGCCGCGGUAAUUC